CCUUUUAUGUUCUAUGUUCGUAUAUCUUCAACUAUGUUUGAUUACAUGACUAUAUUAUAUGUUCAGUUAUGUUUGUUUAUUACUAUUCGUUUAGCAUGUUCACAAACAUAAACGAAUGAACAUGAACAAUGUAAUUUGUAAAAUAAGAAAACUUGUUCGUUUGUUCGACUAUCUUACACAAACGAACAUGAACAACCAUUGUUCAUGCUCAUUUACAACCCUAUCAGUAACCAAUAAACAUUUUAUUAUUGUUCGAAUAUAUUUAUUUAUAUAAGAAUUUCUUUCGGUUAUGUCUGAUUUUUAUUAACUUUUGACCAUUAAAAAGAGUUGUCAUGAGCCUUAAGAUAAAUUUGAUUUGAAAAUAAAAACAUAUAAACAUUUUCAAAGUUCUGUGGACAAAGUAUCUGAGACUUUUUUUUUUAUCAUUUGAAAACUCGGUAUUUGACAAUAUAAAAUAAUAUCUACAAUUUCCAUUGCUUUUUAUUCAAUCACAUAGACAUCAUACUAGAAAUGUAAACGCGAGACUUAAAUUCGGCUUCAAUAGUCUUUUUUCUGGGUGUUUAUCUUUGAAUAUGUUCGAAAUCUAUAAAUCAAUUGAAAAGUAAGUGAUAGUGUUUGAAGUAUAAACGAAUAAUUAAUUGUAUUUAUUUAUUUUUAGAAAGAAUAUGUGUAUUUAAUUUUAUGUUUCUUUUUUAAAUAGUUAUUUUCUUAAUGAUCUCUUAAUUAUAAUUACCUUUUCUUCUUAGAAGUAGAGAUGCACAAAACCUAGUUAAAACCGAAACAAAUUUCUUAAAAUCCAGUUUGGUUUUAUUGAAACUAGAAUUCAGUUAAAUUGGACUCGGUUUCCGUUUUUGGAUGGAAUAUGUAUAUACUCGGUUAAGUCACUUACGGAUCUGACAAAACCGGUUUUAAAAAAAUUUGGUUUUUGUUCUAUCCAAUUUUUAUUGGGAAAAUACCGGCUAUAGAUAUUUUUUGGGGGUAUUUCAGAAUUUAGUCACAAAAACACGAAAUUCCGGGUAUAGACAUGCAUUCCGCGGAACACCCUCUACGGGCUCCGCGGAACGACGAAGUCUUCCUAGAGUGGGGGUAUUUUCGUAAUUUUCCCCUCCCCUCUUUGAUCCCCCCACCGCUCCGCGCCGAUUCCUCUUCGACUUCCAUUUUUCGUUCGUGUCUCCGCAUCGCUAACGUUAUUCGAUUUUCCGGCGAUAUCGUCUUCAACCUCGUCAUUUCCUGGCGACAAAGAGUUCAACCAUGUCAUUUUCUGACGACAACGACUUCAACCAUGAAUUUCCGGCACCAAUGGAGCAAAAUUUCCCCAACAUUUUUGCCGAUGGAUACGGCUCCCAGCACGAUGAUCUCGAUCAAAAAGCAUAUUUAACUUUAAAAAACGUGGUCCGUAUGAUCAUUAAAGACAAUUUUACGCGCCUAACACAAUCGCGACGAACAUUAUUUGAAGCUUCACCGUUUGGAAGAUUAUUAGGAAUAUAUGUCCCCAAUGGUGACCUCUUACUUGCAUUUGAUGGUGUUGCAUGAAGUAAGAUCUCAAGAUGUGUUUGAAAUGAGGAGGUUUCUUUUUAAGAUACAGGGGAUGCAGUUGAAUUUUGGUGAAACUGAAUAUAUUUUGAUUAGUGGGUUAAGAGUUGGUCCUUAUAUGUAUUUACUCCAUGACGAAAGAGGCCGGUCAAAUUCAAAUCUUUGUGCUCGAUUGUUCCCAGACAUUAGAUGCACGUUUGUGACUCAAAGAUUUAGAAGACUACAUUAUGUCUCCGAAUUAUUUCGCACUUCAGGAUGAAGAUGUUGUAAUGCUUAUCCAGCUUGUUUUUAUGUUGAAAGGUCUCCACGGACGGGACAUUAAAACGGGCAUUCAUGCAGCAAUAUACAAGCUUGUUGGUUUGCAUGGGGUACAUAUUUCUGGACCUAUACUUCGGGGUUGAUGCGUGGAAUGUUUGAGAAAAUAGAAAAUUUUAGAAUAUUCAAGCAAGUCAAUCCCGAAUCAAAGAAAGUACACAAGUAUACUGUUCCCGAUUUUAUGCUUCCGUUUAAGAUAUGGAUUUUCGAGACGUUUCCAGAGGCAUUGCACUUACCAUAAUAGCAUUGCACUUACCUUUUUAUCAUAGUUUUGUAUGCAUGCCGACAGAAUUGCCAUGAAUGAGGUUGUGGAGAAGAAAAACAUCAUUAUCGUGCGUUCAAUAUUGUUGAA